GACGAACGCUGGCGGCGUGCCUAAUACAUGCAAGUAGAACGCACAGUUUAUACCGUAGCUUGCUACACCAUAGACUGUGAGUUGCGAACGGGUGAGUAACGCGUAGGUAACCUGCCUGGUAGCGGGGGAUAACUAUUGGAAACGAUAGCUAAUACCGCAUAAUAUUAAUUAUUGCAUGAUAAUUAAUUGAAAGGUGCAAUUGCACCACUACCAGAUGGACCUGCGUUGUAUUAGCUAGUAGGUGAGGUAACGGCUCACCUAGGCGACGAUACAUAGCCGACCUGAGAGGGUGAUCGGCCACACUGGGACUGAGACACGGCCCAGACUCCUACGGGAGGGAGCAGUAGGGAAUCUUCGGCAAUGGACGAAAGUCUGACCGAGCAACGCCGCGUGAGUGAAGAAGGGUUUCGGAUCGUAAAGCUCUGUUGUAAGAGAAGAACGGGUGUGAGAGUGGAAAGUUCACACUGUGACGGUAUCUUACCAGAAAGGGACGGCUAACUACGUG
rnacentral:rRNA from 1 species